rnacentral:rRNA from 1 species
GAGUUUGAUCGUGGCUCAGAUUGAACGCUGGCGGCAGGCCUAACACAUGCAAGUCGAGCGGUAGAGAGAAGCUUGCUUCUCUUGAGAGCGGCGGACGGGUGAGUAAUGCCUAGGAAUCUGCCUGGUAGUGGGGGAUAACGCUCGGAAACGGACGCUAAUACCGCAUACGUCCUACGGGAGAAAGCAGGGGACCUUCGGGCCUUGCGCUAUCAGAUGAGCCUAGGUCGGAUUAGCUAGUUGGUGAGGUAAUGGCUCACCAAGGCGACGAUCCGUAACUGGUCUGAGAGGAUGAUCAGUCACACUGGAACUGAGACACGGUCCAGACUCCUACGGAGGCAGCAGUGGGGAAUAUUGGACAAUGGGCGAAAGCCUGAUCCAGCCAUGCCGCGUGUGUGAAGAAGGUCUUCGGAUUGUAAAGCACUUUAAGUUGGGAGGAAGGGCAGUAAAUUAAUACUUUGCUGUUUUGACGUUACCGACAGAAUAAGCACCGGCUAACUACUGUGCCAGCACG